AGAGUUUGAUCCUGGCUCAGAUUGAACGCUGGCGGCAGGCCUAACACAUGCAAGUCGAGCGGUAACAGAAAGUAGCUUGCUACUUUGCUGACGAGCGGCGGACGGGUGAGUAAUGCUUGGGAACAUGCCUUGAGGUGGGGGACAACAGUUGGAAACGACUGCUAAUACCGCAUAAUGUCUACGGACCAAAGGGGGCUUCGGCUCUCGCCUUUAGAUUGGCCCAAGUGGGAUUAGCUAGUUGGUGAGGUAAUGGCUCACCAAGGCGACGAUCCCUAGCUGGUUUGAGAGGAUGAUCAGCCACACUGGGACUGAGACACGGCCCAGACUCCUACGGGAGGCAGCAGUGGGGAAUAUUGCACAAUGGGCGCAAGCCUGAUGCAGCCAUGCCGCGUGUGUGAAGAAGGCCUUCGGGUUGUAAAGCACUUUCAGUCAGGAGGAAAGGUUAGUAGUUAAUACCUGCUAGCUGUGACGUUACUGACAGAAGAAGCACCGGCUAACUCCGUGCCAGCAGCCGCGGUAAUACGGAGGGUGCGAGCGUUAAUCGGAAUUACUGGGCGUAAAGCGUACGCAGGCGGUUUGUUAAGCGAGAUGUGAAAGCCCCGGGCUCAACCUGGGAACUGCAUUUCGAACUGGCAAACUAGAGUGUGAUAGAGGGUGGUAGAAUUUCAGGUGUAGCGGUGAAAUGCGUAGAGAUCUGAAGGAAUACCGAUGGCGAAGGCAGCCACCUGGGUCAACACUGACGCUCAUGUACGAA
rnacentral:rRNA from 1 species